AACGGCCGUACCAUGCUGAAUAUACCGGUUUUCGUUAGAUCACCGAAGUCCGUUAAAUCACGCGGUCAGUACUUGGGUGGGUGACCACCUGGGAACACCGCGUGCCGUU